GACGAACGCUGGCGGCGUGCUUAACACAUGCAAGUCGAACGGAAAGGCCCUGCUUUUGUGGGGUGCUCGAGUGGCGAACGGGUGAGUAACACGUGAGUAACCUGCCCUUGACUUUGGGAUAACUUCAGGAAACUGGGGCUAAUACCGGAUAGGAGCUCCCGCUGCAUGGUGGGGGUUGGAAAGUUUCGGCGGUUGGGGAUGGACUCGCGCCUUAUCAGCUUGUUGGUGGGGUAGUGGCAUACCAAGGCCUUGACGGGUAGCCGGCCUGAGAGGGUGACCGGCCACGUUGGGCCUGAGAUGCGGCCCAGCCUCCUCCGGGAGGCAGCAGUGGAGAAUAUUGCACAAUGGGCGGAGGCCUGAUGCAGCAACGCCGCGUGCGGGAUGUCGGCCUUCGGGUUGUAAACCGCUUUCGCCUGUGACGAAGCGUGAGUGACGGUAAUGGGUAAAGAAGCACCGGCUAACUACGUG
rnacentral:rRNA from 1 species